rnacentral:lncRNA from 1 species
GCAAUAACUGGUUCAGUUCUCAGAUGAUUUUUUAAUACUUCAUGCAGACAGGAUCUCACUUUGUUGCCCAGACUGGUCUCAAACUUCUGGCCUCAAGUGACCCACCCACCUCAGCCUCCCAAAGUAUCAACAGCAUCAUUUUAAACAGCAUUUUUGUUUAUUUGGUUGGUUGAACAGCUCCUAAGGGAAGAUUAAGUUGAGAUAAACAGAGAAGCAAGGCCGAGGAGCCUGCGACCCGGCUCCCUCACUGCCCCAGCGCAGCCCGCGGCGGCCGAUGCGCCAGAUGCCACCGGGGCUGUUUAAUGUUCGGGGUUAUGACCGCAGUGUUUACAAGACGUCUUCGGUUAUUUAUACUGUUAUUCCUCGCAGAGAGCCUUGAAACUUCCGCUUCAUUUGCUCUUUCUUUUCGAUUUUUUACCCUUUUUUCUCGGCUUAGUUUGGUACCUGGAGCGAGAGCUUCUCCGCCCUUCCACCAACCCCACAGGCCGCUUCGCGGGUGGAGCCCUCUGCCUGGCCAUGGAGGAAGGAUCCCGCUAGGCUGGUCCCGACUGGAGAAGCUGCUCUGCCAGGUGUGCUCUCUGUCAGCAAUAGUGACCUCAUUACCAAGGGGUGGCGACCACAUUACCAAGCGCAAUUCCCCAUUCUCCAAGGGCUGAGAACUUCGGUGACUUCAUCCACCUGUCUAUUUGCACAUGGAGGACUUUUCAAGAUGUCAGGAUACCCUUCCAUCACCCCACCACCGCCACCCCAACUUGACUUUCAAGAACACAUUUCA